UACGUAGGGUGCAAGCGUUAAUCGGAAUUACUGGGCGUAAAGCGUGCGCAGGCGGUUUUGUAAGUUUUGUCGUGAAAUCCCCAGGCUCAACUUGGGAACUGCAUCCGAUACUGGUCGGCUUGAAUCCGGGAGAGGGAUGCAGAAUUCCAGGUGUAGCGGUGAAAUGCGUAGAUAUCUGGAGGAAUACCGGUGGCGAAGGCGCAUCCUGGACCGGCAUUGACGCUGAUGAGCGAAAGCCAGGGGAGCAAACGGG
rnacentral:rRNA from 1 species